rnacentral:sRNA from 2 species
GUCGCUGAGACAACAGCGAUCCGGGUUGGAAGCCGGCAAAUUCCCGAGGCGGACAGCCGCCUCAGCGCGGUUUUUUU